rnacentral:lncRNA from 1 species
AGGGAAGAAAAUAAAGGUGGUGUCAUCUCCUUUCUCUUCUUCUUUUGGUUCUAGCGCAAGGGAAAGUAAAAGGCUGUGAAGAGCCUUUGUUUCUUCUUCCUUGGCAUUUCUUUCUUCUUCCUUCUCUCAAGCCAAUCAAAGGUUGAUUCAAAGGAGAGAACUUCAGCUAUCAAUAGCCUUCUCUGCAAGGGAGCUAGCACUCCCGGGAGAUCCAAAGGCUUCGAUCGAAUCAUUACUUCGUGUGGAUACCUGUAGAGGCCGGACGUGUGUGCGGCUUCCACUGAACCCUCAUCAAA